rnacentral:rRNA from 1 species
AUUGAACGCUGGCGGCAUGCCUUACACAUGCAAGUCGAACGGCAGCACGGGUGCUUGCACCUGGUGGCGAGUGGCGAACGGGUGAGUAAUACAUCGGAACAUGUCCUGUAGUGGGGGAUAGCCCGGCGAAAGCCGGAUCAAUACCGCAUACGAUCUACGGAUGAAAGCGGGGGACCUUCGGGCCUCGCGCUAUAGGGUUGGCCGAUGGCUGAUUAGCUAGUUGGUGGGGUAAAGGCCUACCAAGGCGAUGAUCAGUAGCUGGUCUGAGAGGACGACCAGCCACACUGGGACUGAGACACGGCCCAGACUCCUACGGGAGGCAGCAGUGGGGAAUUUUGGACAAUGGGCGAAAGCCUGAUCCAGCAAUGCCGCGUGUGUGAAGAAGGCCUUCGGGUUGUAAAGCACUUUUGUCCGGAAAGAAAUCCUUGGCCCUAAUACGGUCGGGGGAUGACGGUACCGGAAGAAUAAGCACCGGCUAACUACGUG